CGCAUCUGUGCAUGCAGCAUAUCAAUAAGCGGAGGAAAAGGAAACUAACAAGGAUUCCCCUAGUAACGGCGAGUGAAGCGGGAAGAGCUCAAAUUUGAAAUCUUAAAGGGUUUCCCUUUACGAAUUGUAGUUUAAAGAAGUGUUUUCUGUUGAGGUUUUGGUAAAAGUUCUUUGGAAUAGGACAUCAUAGAGGGUGAGAAUCCCGUAUUUGACCUUUACUUUCAACUUUGUGAUACACUUUCAAAGAGUCGGAUUGUUUGGGAAUGCAGUCCAAAAUGGGUGGUAAAUUUCAUCUAAAGCUAAAUAUUGGCGAGAGACCGAUAGCGAACAAGUACCGUGAGGGAAAGAUGAAAAGAACUUUGAAAAGAGAGUUAAACAGUACGUGAAAUUGUCAAAAGGGAAGCGUUUGACACCAGUGUUGUUUUUCUGAAAAUCAAUUAAAGAACUGUUUAUGCUAAGUUGUUUAGACUUUAUCAGCUAACUGUUUAGUUUUGAGCUUUUCUUUAAUGCACUUUUCAGUUAACAAGUCAACAUCAAUUUCUUUUGCUGUAAAAAAGCUUGAGGAAGGUGGCUUGAGAUUCGUCUUAAGUGUUUAUAGCCUCUUGCCUAUGCAGUCGGAGAGAUUGAGGUCUGCAGCGUAGAUCCUUCGGGGCUAAAUGCAUUUGUGCUAAGUUAUAGCAUUUUAUAGACAACUUGUUGACUAUGAUUUGUCUUGUAGCUUACUCGCUUAUGUUAUUUUACCUACGCUUAGGAUGUUGAACGCGCACAGAGUCUC
rnacentral:rRNA from 1 species